rnacentral:tRNA from 1 species
GCGCCUGUAGCUCAGCAGGAUAGAGCAACCGCCUUCUAAGCGGUCGGUCGGGAGUUCGAAUCUCUCCAGGCGCGCCA